AAGUCUAUUCUCAUAUCAGUUCCAAUCUCGAUCCUAACCAACGCCGCCGCACCUGCGUGUCGCCCUACCCAGCGUCGUUGCACUGCAACCUCUGCCCCUGUCCCUGCGCCACCGCACCAGCGGAAUCCAUGGCGGCCGCGGCUGCCCUGGUCUCUCUCCUGUCUGCCCGUCCUGCAUUCUCCCUCCAAAUCCCCCUCCCGCACUACCUCUGCCACACCCCCAAAGCCUAGAUCCGGUCGGUCGGGAGACCAAGACGGCAGCGGCGGCGCCGGCGCCAUUCCCCUCGCGCUUCAAGCCGGCCAGCAAGAAGAGAAAGACGGCGGCGGGCAAGAGGUUCUCUAACCCGUAGCUGUGGUGGCGCCUCCUCCUACUGCCCCCAUCCAGUCGAGCUCCGGCGUGACGAUACAUCCUUACGGCAGCCCCCAUCCUGUCGAUCUCCGACGUGACGGCGCCUCCGUCAGUCAAUUGGAAUUAUAGGCAGCUCUGAUUGUUGCCUUUUCACAUUGAUUAAUGAUUGGUGCGUGUGUUGCACUCCCAUCCAUGCCCAAGAAGAGCCACGUGAAUAUCUAAUUUCUUAUGCCAUAUUCUGAUUUUGGAGCAGGGACAUGCAUGCAUAGGGGCUGGCUCCAUGAUUGAGUUAUGUGGUUGUGCCACUUCAAAUAUGGGAAGAAAGAUGAAGAUGAUGGUCCUUUGCUAUUGAUGUUUUUUUUACGGUUGAUGACUUGCACAGGUCGCUUCUGCAAUAUUUGAGUUGGUGCCAUCUAGAACUACUGAUUUCGGUUGAUGUAGUUAUAAAUAGUGAAGUUCUGAUUUUUUUUUCUGUGUUAAUGUUUGAUGAUGGUUUUCACUUCUACAUGAAGUUUCUGUUUUAGAAGCAUAUUUAUGCUCCUGUUGUUCACUGUUGGAUGAAGUUUUAUGUUCCAGAAAUGUUCUUAUAUAUUGUUCACACCUGCAUAUACUGUUGGAUGAAGUUUUAUGUUUUGUAUCUGACAACAUCAUUUUUUACUUUUAAAUGAAAAGAAUGUUGUCUCCUCU